rnacentral:misc_RNA from 1 species
AGAGAAAGAGUGCGCACUUGUAUAUAUGCAUAUAUAGGGAGGAGGAAGAUCGGCAAGGCGCCUGAUACCCUCGGCAUGAGGAGGCCCGGAGUGCGGGAGGCCUCGCGCGUUGAACCGGCCGGCGGUGAGGCAUGGAAACCGCCGAGGCCGCGCCUGGCGCUCACCAGCAGUACCGGCACCAUCAUCGUCGACGAUCGCAUAACGAUGGCCCGCAGCAGGGCAGCCGCGAUCUCCUCGCCUCGGCUGGCAGUGCUCCCGGCCUCGACGUCGUGAGGGCCCUGCACCAGACGGUGGUGUCGCUGCGCACGGCCUUGGACUCUUCGCGCGAGGAGUUGCGCAAACUCAAGGAGGACCACCAGCAGCAGCCGGUCGCCAAGAGGAGAACCAGCAGCCCAGCCGGCGAGAUCGGCCGGCUGGCCCUCGAGAACCACGUGCUCAGGAGACGGCUGCUCGACCGGGCCGGCGAGUUUACCAGCGAUGCCGCGACCAACCCGCCCGACCAUACCCCAAAGACACCGAUAAAACAACAACCGCCCGAGGCAGCCAACAUGGAGUCCGACGCCAACGAAACGACGGAGCCAAAGGGCGAGGAGGGUGAGGAGGAGGAGGCAGUCGCCACCGAGGUGGAGCAGCAGGAGGUGGUGGUGCCGAAGCUCAAGCUGUCCGGGCAGGGUGCCUCCAACGAGUCGGAGAACGAGUCGGAGGAACUCGACGACAUCGAGCUCAUCUUCACUACCGAGGAGACGUGCAGGGACGUCGGGCUGCAGGAGGACCUCGUCUCCAUCACCGACCACCCCGACAAUUGGCAGCUCCAACAACAACAACAACUUACCACCCCCACUCCGGGGGAGCAGGAGAAAUCGGGGGUAGGGCAGGCGUGCCGGGCCAAGUCGGAGGAGGGUGAGCCGGGCUCGGUGUGCAACGGCAAGGCCAACUCGGUGGAGGAGGCCGCCUCGUCCCAGAGCAGUAGCAUCGACCGCGAGGAGAGCGUCGACAGGUUCGACGAGAGCACGGGCAGCCGGCUAAACAAGAUGUGGUCGCAGUGCUCCGUCCUCGUCGAGACGGACAUCAGCAAGUGCGGCGUCCUCGAGGAGAUCGACGUUCAAGCCCGGCACUCUGCCAGGCGCAACACCCUGGCCGCGCCCACUGCUACCUACAGGCCGAUAAUUCACCGGGAGGCGCUGGCCACGGGCCGCCGGAAGAGCCUCGGUCCGGUGAGACCGAUGAUGGACCGGGCCGCCGGUGGGGGACUCGCCGAGAGCAACGGCAGUGGCAACGCCCGUCGGGAGUCCGGCGCCCAGACCGACAUAUCGGCUCUGCCGGCGCAGUGGCGCUCCGAGAGCUACCUCGCCCACAAGGUGGCCCACGCGUUCACCACUCUGCCGAGUAAGUUCGCCCUGCCCGCGGGUGUACCGGGCCGGCUGAGGCUGUCCGACAAGACGCGGGAGGCCCGCCGGGUCAUGCUCUCGGACAUAAGCUUCACGAGCAUGGUGCCCGAGUUGUCGAGGAGCGCCGACCACCUGUGCCAGGAGCCCCACAAUCAGUUUCCGCAGGCGCACGUAUGCUACGGGUCGCGAACCGGUGGAGGAACGAGUCCGGGCUGCUGCGGGGGUCUGCGCACACCGGAGAGCAGCAGGCGCGAGUCUUGGGCCCGGAUGGGCGGUGCUUCGGGCGCGAUGGGCCUGCCGAGUCCGUCGUGCGACUGCCGGUUGUCGGCCGAUCUCUACCCGGGACGCUACCGGGGCAGCUUGAGCUCGAUCCCGCGGGCCCCGAGCGCCGUAGAAUUGGGUGGCUCGCGCAGGCACUCCUGGCGGCCCAACAACGCGGGUGGCUCGUUCGACAGUUGGCGGGGACCCGCGGUGCUACCGGGCAGCCACACCAGUUCGGCCAUUGUUGCCGCCUGCAGUCCCGGUGGGACGAGCAGCUGCGGGGGAAGCACGACGGGCGCCCAUCUCCUCCACCAUCAUCACCACCACCACCACCACAACCAGCAUCUGGCACGGCCCACUUGGUCGUCGAUGCCGUCCUCGCCCACCCACGUCAAGCCACCGUCCGGGACGAUCGUCGCGAGGCUCGUUGGGUCCUGCCAGCCUCGCAGGACCAGGUCUAAGGUCACUUUCCAAGAGUGUCCGAUGACACGGGGCAGCUUGCCGAACUUGCGCUCGGAGUCUCUGGCUGAGACGAGCGGCGACUCGACCGAGUCGCUAAUAGACGAGGCCGAGGACUACCUAAGGCGAAGCAUAGACUCGAUGCUGACCUUCUCGAGUAGCGCGGCCGAGCGCUGCGCUGCCCUCGGGGGCGGCCGACACUCGGCCCGGCGGAGACGAGCGCGUCGACACUCCGAGCCCGAUCUCUUCCGCGAAUGGAAUCCACCCCAGGACGCCAGACCCUACUUGCCAAAGAAACCACAAGAUCUCAAGAUAAACCAUCUGGUGAAGGUGAUCGCGGAGUCGGGGAAAAUUCUCCAGGGCCGUGUGCGAUACGUCGGGGCCGUGAACGGUGGGAACGACGCGUACGUGGGCGUCGAGUUGCCAAACAACGCCGGCACCUCCGAUGGCAGCUACAACGGCAGACGGCACUUUGACUGCGAGGCGGAGCGAGCGAUAUUCGUGCCGUUCAAGAAGGUCGUGCUCGCCUGGUGCACCACUUGACCCGAGGCCCGUCGGACCGGCUGUUGCGAGGCCAGUUCGGCAAACGGUGGCACCGCCGACGCGGCCGAAGCUUCCUCGCCUCGACCGACGACGCCACGGAUACUGCUGUCCCAGUACACCAUGUAAACGCGAUGGAUCUCCGGAAUCUCUGUCUCUGCAUCGGCGCGAAGAGAUAAAGCACGUGUUAUACACCUGACAAGGGCACGUAUAGG